rnacentral:rRNA from 1 species
AAUGAACGCUGGCGGCAGGCCUAACACAUGCAAGUCGAACGGGUCCUUCGGGACUAGUGGCGGACGGGUGAGUAACGCGUGGGAACAUACCCAAAGGUACGGAAUAGCCUCUGGAAACGGAGAGUAAUACCGUAUGUGCCCUUCGGGGGAAAGAUUUAUCGCCGUUGGAUUGGCCCGCGUUGGAUUAGGUAGUUGGUGGGGUAAUGGCCUACCAAGCCGACGGUCCAUAGCUGGUUUGAGAGGAUGAUCAGCCACACUGGGACUGAGACACGGCCCAGACUCCUACGGGGGGCAGCAGUGGGGAAUCUUAGACAAUGGGGGAAACCCUGAUCUAGCCAUGCCGCGUGAUCGAUGAAGGCCUUAGGGUUGUAAAGAUCUUGCAGAUGGGAAGAUAAUGACGGUACCAUCAGAAGAAGCCCCGGCUAACUCCGUGCCAGCCGCCGCAGUAA